rnacentral:rRNA from 1 species
AGUGGCGCACGGGUGAGUAAUGCAUGGGUGACCUGCCUUAGAGAGGGGGAUAACCAGACGAAAGUCUGGCUAAUACCGCAUACGGAAUCGAGAGUGAGUUAUCGAUUCGAAACGGAGGGGACCGCAAGGCCUUCCGCUCUGAGAGGGGCUCAUGUCCCAUUAGCUAGUUGGUGAGGUAACGGCUCACCAAGGCCGAGAUGGGUAGCUGGUCUGAGAGGACGAUCAGCCACACUGGAACUGAGACACGGUCCAGACUCCUACGGGAGGCAGCAGUGGGGAAUAUUGCGCAAUGGGGGAAACCCUGACGCAGCAACGCCGCGUGAGUGAUGAAGGCCUUCGGGUUGUAAAGCUCUUUCGGUUGGGAAGAAGGGUGUGCGAGCUAAUAAUUCGUACAUUUGAUGGUACCAAAAGAAGAAGCACCGGCUAACUUCGUGCCAGCAGCCGCGGUAAUACGAAGGGUGCGAGCGUUGUUCGGAAUUACUGGGCGUAAAGGGUUCGUAGGCGGGAACGUGAGUCGAAUGUGAAAACCCUGGGCUUAACCUGGGACGUGCAUUCGAUACUGCGUUUCUUGAGUUCUGGAGAGGGUGGUGGAAUUGCUGGUGUAGGAGUGACAUCCGUAGAGAUCAGCAGGAACGCCGGAGGCGAAAGCGACCGCCUGGCCAGACACUGACGCUGAGGAACGAAAGCGUGGGGAGCAAACAGGAUUAGAUACCCUGGUAGUCCACGCCGUAAACGAUGAUGACUGGAUGUUGGGGGAGUUUGACCCUUCAGUAUCGAAGUUCACACGGUAAGUCAU